rnacentral:rRNA from 1 species
UUAAUAAUUUAUAUAUAAUAUUUUAUGAUAUUUAUAUAAUAUUAACAUAAUUCAUAUUACUAUUAUUAUUAGUAUAUGAAAUUUUACUUUGAGAAAAUUAGAGUGCUUAAAGCAGGCUUUUGCCUUGAAUACUCCAGCAUGGAAUAAUAUAAAAGAUUUUUAUCUUUUUUAUUGGUUCUAAGAUAAAAAUAAUGAUUAAUAGGGACAGUUGGGGGCAUUUGUAUUUAACAGUCAGAGGUGAAAUUCUUAGAUUUGUUAAAGACAAACUAGUGCGAAAGCAUUUGCCAAGGAUGUUUUCAUUAAUCAAGAACGAAAGUUAGGGGAUCGAAGACGAUCAGAUACCGUCGUAGUCUUAACCAUAAACUAUGCCAACUAGAGAUUGGAGGUUGUU